rnacentral:piRNA from 1 species
UUAGCAAUUUCCGAAUGUUUU